AAGGUGUGUCGUGAGGCAUGCUGGAGGUAUCAGAAGUGCGAAUGCUGACAUAAGUAACGAUAAAGCGGGUGAAAAGCCCGCUCGCCGGAAGACCAAGGGUUCCUGUCCAACGUUAAUCGGGGCAGGGUGAGUCGACCCCUAAGGCGAGGCCGAAAGGCGUAGUCGAUGGGAAACGGGUUAAUAUUCCCGUACUUGGUGUUACUGCGAAGGGGGGACGGAGAAGGCUAUGUUGGCCGGGCGACGGUUGUCCCGGUUUAAGCGUGUAGGUGUGUGUUCCAGGUAAAUCCGGUUCACUUUAACACUGAGGCGUGACGACGAGGCACUACGGUGCUGAAGCAACAAAUGCCCUGCUUCCAGGAAAAGCCUCUAAGCAUCAGGUAACAUCAAAUCGUACCCCAAACCGACACAGGUGGUCAGGUAGAGAAUACCAAGGCGCUUGAGAGAACUCGGGUGAAGGAACUAGGCAAAAUGGUGCCGUAACUUCGGGAGAAGGCACGCUGACACGUAGGUGAAGUGAUUUACUCAUGGAGCUGAAGUCAGUCGAAGAUACCAGCUGGCUGCAACUGUUUAUUAAAAACACAGCACUGUGCAAACACGAAAGUGGACGUAUACGGUGUGACGCCUGCCCGGUGCCGGAAGGUUAAUUGAUGGGGUCAGCGCAAGCGAAGCUCCUGAUCGAAGCCCCGGUAAACGGCGGCCGUAACUAUAACGGUCCUAAGGUAGCGAAAUUCCUUGUCGGGUAAGUUCCGACCUGCACGAAUGGCGUAAUGAUGGCCAGGCUGUCUCCACCCGAGACUCAGUGAAAUUGAACUCGCUGUGAAGAUGCAGUGUACCCGCGGCAAGACGGAAAGACCCCGUGAACCUUUACUAUAGCUUGACACUGAACAUUGAGCCUUGAUGUGUAGGAUAGGUGGGAGGCUUUGAAGUGUGGACGCCAGUCUGCAUGGAGCCGACCUUGAAAUACCACCCUUUAAUGUUUGAUGUUCUAACGUGGACCCGUUACCCGGGUUGCGGACAGUGUCUGGUGGGUAGUUUGACUGGGGCGGUCUCCUCCUAAAGAGUAACGGAGGAGCACGAAGGUUGGCUAAUCCUGGUCGGACAUCAGGAGGUUAGUGCAAUGGCAUAAGCCAGCUUGACUGCGAGCGUGACGGCGCGAGCAGGUGCGAAAGCAGGUCAUAGUGAUCCGGUGGUUCUGAAUGGAAGGGCCAUCGCUCAACGGAUAAAAGGUACUCCGGGGAUAACAGGCUGAUACCGCCCAAGAGUUCAUAUCGACGGCGGUGUUUGGCACCUCGAUGUCGGCUCAUCACAUCCUGGGGCUGAAGUAGGUCCCAAGGGUAUGGCUGUUCGCCAUUUAAAGUGGUACGCGAGCUGGGUUUAGAACGUCGUGAGACAGUUCGGUCCCUAUCUGCCGUGGGCGCUGGAGAACUGAGGGGGGCUGCUCCUAGUACGAGAGGACCGGAGUGGACGCAUCACUGGUGUUCGGGUUGUCAUGCCAAUGGCACUGCCCGGUAGCUAAAUGCGGAAGAGAUAAGUGCUGAAAGCAUCUAAGCACGAAACUUGCCCCGA
rnacentral:rRNA from 1 species